GGGAAAAAAACACUUCGCCCCCACACGGACAGAUGUUUACACAUGCUACAGGGGGGUUGUGUGGGAACGCUUUUUCCUUUAAGGGUGGAAGCGGUGCAUGGUUUGUCAAUUUUUUCAUCCUUCAGUGUGAGUUGAGGGGGAAAAUGUACCCUAUCUAUUAAUACCAACUGCAGUGAACUGUAACAUUGACUUGUGCACAAACUGUACUGCAAUUUGCAAAGUAGUAGCACACUGCAAAUUAGAUGUGUCUCAGAAAUUUAAAAAAAAUCUUAUCAAAAUAAUUUGAUCUAAAUCAGUGAAUCAAAGUUGGUGUAAGUGAUAGUGGCUCGGCACAGUAGUAACCUAACCACUUUACUAGUCUUAAUGACACCUGCCAUCGUCCAUUAGAAGCCGGUGUAAAUUACUACAUGGCUCCAUUGCCAGAACUUCAUAUCACAAACGGAUUUGCCAUGUGUCAUUUUGGAGUUACAGAAUUUGAAUGAGUAAUCAAUUGCAAAACAUUCAGAUGAAUCAGUAUUCAUUUGAAACCAAACAGACAAGCCUAUUAAAUUCUACAGCAUCAGAAGCUCUUAGAAUAUUUCUAUAUUUGUUACUAGUUAUAGUGUUGAUUUUUUUUUUUUACAAUUAUUUAGCAAUAAAAAUAAAAGUGCAGCUGCUGACUAUUUCCGUGGUAAUCCACAGCAACGCUCUGACAGACAGAUUUGCAAGAGAGUGGACCCGGUGGAGUAACGGACACACACUUAUAGCGAUACUUGGUAUAUACAUAUAUA